rnacentral:other from 1 species
AUCGCCGGUUAUCGGCAAAUUUGUAGGAUAGGAAUUUUAUCAAUGGCUAAACUUAAAGGCACCGUUAAGUGGUUUAACGAAUCAAAAGGUUUUGGUUUCAUCACUCCAGCUGAUGGCAGCAAAGACGUGUUCGUUCACUUCUCUGCAAUCAUGACCGAUGGUUUCAAAACACUUGCUGAAGGCCAACAAGUUGAAUUUGAAGUGCAGGAUGGUCCUAAAGGCCCUGCUGCUGCCAACGUCACUAAAGCAUAAUUAUCUCCGGCAAUAAAAUUGCCCCUGAUAGUUGGUUU